UACGAAGGGGGCUAGCGUUGCUCGGAAUGACUGGGCGUAAAGGGCGCGUAGGCGGAUGAUACAGUCAGAUGUGAAAUUCCUGGGCUUAACCUGGGGCUGCAUUUGAUACGUGUUGUCUAGAGUGAGGAAGAGGGUCGUGGAAUUCCCAGUGUAGAGGUGAAAUUCGUAGAUAUUGGGAAGAACACCGGUGGCGAAGGCGGCGACCUGGUCCUUACUGACGCUGAGCGCGAAGCGUGGGGAGC
rnacentral:rRNA from 1 species